rnacentral:rRNA from 1 species
CCUACGGGUGGCAGCAGUGGGGAAUAUUGCACAAUGGGGGAAACCCUGAUGCAGCAACGCCGCGUGAGUGAAGAAGGUUUUCGGAUGGUAAAGCUCUGUUAGCAGGGAAGAGGAAGGACGGUACCUGCAGAGGAAGCCACGGCUAACUACGUGCCAGCAGCCGCGGUAAUACGGAGGUGGCAAGCGUUGUUCGGAAUAACUGGGCGGAAAGGAUGCGUAGGCGGUUACACAAGUUAUAGGGUAAAUAUAUCGGCUUAACCUGUAGAAAGCAUAUCAAACUGUUUAACUAGAGUGCAGGAGCGGUCAGUGGACUUCCUAGUGUAGCGGUUAACUGCGUAGAGAUUAGGCAGACCCCCAGUGGCGAAGGCGACUUACUGGACUGUACCUGACGCUGCGGCAUG